rnacentral:lncRNA from 10 species
CGAUGGCUGGAGCUGUGCCAGGCCUGCUACCCCUGGACACCUGAUGAUAUCAAGAGGACUAAGGGCCCCUGAAAUUUCAGAAAUGCUGAAUCCGUGGCAAAAGAGAUGUUAUUGGUGCCCUGAGUUCUUGUAAUCUCCAAGGAGAGAAAUCAAGAGGGAUCACCAGACAUAGCAGCCAAAAAGAAAGAGAAAAAUUUAUUUUAGCUUGUGUGCAAGGAAGUCAGCACUGCAAAAGGAAAAGGAACAAGGAACUCUCUAAUUCCUAUCUGACAGUUCACAGAGAUGUGGUGAGUAAGUACAAGUAGGUCUUCGACAAAAUUUCUUGCAAAUACUCUAUUGG